AGGGAGUCACAUCACCUAGGUGAUAGACCCAGAGAUAUGUCACAAUGUGCUCCUUGAGGCAUGGCCCUACUGAAAGACUACCAUCAUCUGUGUGCCUAGACUAGCAAUAUGUCACUAUCCAGGACACAAUUGGAGAAACUGGUUGUUUUACCAAGGCCUUAACUGAAAGGGUAUGUUUCCCUUUGAGGAGUCAAGCUCAACUUGCAGAGCCAAUCAAAGCCCCCUGGGAAGACUGGCCUCAUACCUCAUCUACACAGUCCUUCUCUAUGGUUUCUGAUCAGUGCUUUGAAGGCAGAGAAAAAGAGCCAUGAGCCAAGGGUUGUGGGUGGCCUCCGAGAGCUAGAAUAUCCUAAUCUGACAGCCAGCAAGGAAAUGAGGACUUCAGUAGAAUAACCACGUGGAACUGAAAUUUACCAACCACCAGAGUGACCUUGGAAGUGGAUUCAUUCUUAGAACUCCCAGAAAGGAAUACAGCCUGCGUGACACUUCUAUUUCAGUACUGUGGCACUCUAAGCAGAGGACUCCACUGAACCACACUGUAUCCAUAAACAAGAAGUCUUUUAUGCAGCUGGUGUUUAUGGGAAUUGGAAAUUUUGACCUGUACAGCUGUGAGAUAAUAAAUGAGUGCUGUUUUAAGCCA
rnacentral:lncRNA from 1 species